CAACGCAUCCCCUAAUGUAAAAAUUUUGUUCUGUUUUUAAACUCUGCCAGUAUUAUGUGAACAGGGUCUUAUAUAUAGUGAUUUUACAUUAUCUAACAUAGUAAAAUUAAUUAAAUUAUCAUGUUAUAUAAUUAUAGUGAUUAUAUAUUGUAUAACACCAGACAACUUUACUCGUUGCUGGAAGAGUACUGUUAUUUUAUUUACUGUUACUUGUCAGUUGAAUGGUACUUGAUGGGUAAAUUUACAUCAUACAAUAAUUCCAACUUGCCAAGUGGAAUUUUAUGUUAAUAUUUAAUUA